rnacentral:rRNA from 1 species
GAUGAACGCUGGCGGCGUGCCUAAUACAUGCAAGUCGAGCGAACGGACGAGAAGCUUGCUUCUCUGAUGUUAGCGGCGGACGGGUGAGUAACACGUGGAUAACCUACCUAUAAGACUGGGAUAACUUCGGGAAACCGGAGCUAAUCCCGGAUAAUCUUUUGAACCGCAUGGGUCAAAAGUGAAAGACGGUCUUGCUGUCACUUCUAGAGGGAUCCGCGCUGCAUUAGCUAGUUGGUAAGGUAACGGCUUACCAAGGCAACGAUGCAUAGACGACGUGAGAGGGUGAUAGGCCACACUGGAAGUUAGACACGGUCCAGAGUCCUACGGGAGGCAGCAGUAGCGAAUCGUCCGCAAUGGGCGAAAGCCUGGCGGAGCAACGCGGAGUGAGUGAUGAAGGUCUUCGGAUCGGAAAACUCUGUUAUUAGGGAUGAACAUAUGUGUAAGGAACUGUGCACAUCGUGACGGUACUUAAUCAGAAAGCCACGGCUAACUACGUG